GAACGCUGGCGGCGUGCUUAACACAUGCAAGUCGAACGAUGAAGCCCAGCUUGCUGGGUGGAUUAGUGGCGAACGGGUGAGUAACACGUGAGCAACCUGCCCCUGACUCUGGGAUAAGCGCUGGAAACGGCGUCUAAUACUGGAUAUGUCCCGUCACCGCAUGGUGUGCGGGUGGAAAGAUUUUUCGGUUGGGGAUGGGCUCGCGGCCUAUCAGCUUGUUGGUGAGGUAAUGGCUCACCAAGGCGUCGACGGGUAGCCGGCCUGAGAGGGUGACCGGCCACACUGGGACUGAGACACGGCCCAGACUCCUACGGGAGGCAGCAGUGGGGAAUAUUGCACAAUGGGCGGAAGCCUGAUGCAGCAACGCCGCGUGAGGGAUGACGGCCUUCGGGUUGUAAACCUCUUUUAGCAGGGAAGAAGCGAAAGUGACGGUACCUGCAGAAAAAGCACCGGCUAACUACGUGCCAGCAGCCGCGGUAAUACGUAGGGUGCAAGCGUUAUCCGGAAUUAUUGGGCGUAAAGAGCUCGUAGGCGGUCUGUCGCGUCUGCUGUGAAAUUCCGAGGCUCAACCUCGGGCUUGCAGUGGGUACGGGCAGACUAGAGUGCGGUAGGGGAGAUUGGAAUUCCUGGUGUAGCGGUGGAAUGCGCAGAUAUCAGGAGGAACACCGAUGGCGAA
rnacentral:rRNA from 1 species